UAGUCCACGCCGUAAACGAUGAUUACUCGUUGUAUGCCAAAUUGAUGGCAUGUGACCAAGCGAAAGCAUUAAGUAAUCCACCUGGGGAGUACGUUCGCAAGAAUGAAACUCAAAGGAAUUGACGGGGGCCCGCACAAGCGGAGGAACAUGUGGUUUAAUUCGAUGAUACGCGAGGAACCUUACCAGGGCUUAAAUGUAAGUUGCAUUAGUUAGAGAUAGCUAUUUCUUCGGACCACUUACAAGGUGCUGCAUGGUUGUCGUCAGCUCGUGCCGUGAGGUGUCAGGUUAAGUCCUAUAACGAGCGCAACCCUCGCCAUUAGUUGCCAGCAUUUAGUUGGGCACUCUAAUGGGACUGCCGGUGAUAAGCCGGAGGAAGGUGGGGAUGACGUCAAGUCCUCAUGGCCCUUACGGGGCUGGGGCUACACACGUGCUACAAUGGUGGUGACAGUGGGGCAGCGAGAUCGCAAGAUCGAGCUAA
rnacentral:rRNA from 1 species